AUACGGAGGGUGCAAGCGUUAUCCGGAUUCAUUGGGUUUAAAGGGUGCGCAGGCGGAAUGAUAAGUCAGUGGUGAAAUCCUACAGCUUAACUGUAGAACUGCCAUUGAUACUGUCAUUCUUGAGUACACUUGAAGUGGGCGGAAUGUAUCAUGUAGCGGUGAAAUACAUAGAUAUGAUACAGAACUCCGAUAGCGAAGGCAGCUCACUAAAUUGUAACUGACGCUCAGGCACGAAAGCGUGGGGAGCAAACAGGAUUAGAUACCCUAGUAGUCC
rnacentral:rRNA from 1 species